CUGCACUUACAAGCUGUGGAAGCACAUUUCUUGUGUGACCGCGUACUUUUUGUAGAACGGGCCAACGAGUUACGUUAAGUAGCAAGGUUAAGCACUUAAGGUGCGGAGCCGUAGCGAAAGCGAGUUUUAACUGAGCGUUCAGUUACUUGACGUAGACCCGAAACCGGGCGACCUACCCAUGAGCAGGAUGAAGCGAAAGUAAAAUUUCGUGGAGGUCCGAACCCACGAGCGUUGAAAAGCUCGGGGAUGACUUGUGGGUAGCGGUGAAAUUCCAAUCGAGCCCGGAGAUAGCUGGUUCUCCCCGAAAUAGCUUUAGGGCUAGCCUCAAGGUGAGAGAUACGGAGGUAGAGCACUGAAUGUCCUAGGGGGUAUUGCACCUACCGAAGACUAUCAAACUCCGAAUGCCGUCAUCUUAUACUUGGGAGUCAGACUGUGGGUGAUAAGAUUCAUAGUCGAAAGGGCAACAGCCCAGAUCGUCAGCUAAGGUCCCUAAAUGUAAGUUAAGUGGUAAAGGAUGUGGGAUUGCACAGACAACCAGGAUGUUGGCUUAGAAGCAGCCACUCAUUCAAAGAGUGCGUAAUAGCUCACUGGUCGAGUGAUCCUGCGCCGAAGAUUUCCGGGGCUAAAACUUACUACCGAAGCUACGGCAUCAGUAAUGAUGGGUAGGGGAGCUUCCCAUACGGGUUGAAGCAUGACCGUAAGGACAUGUGGACAGUAUGGGAGUGAGAAUGUUGGCAUGAGUAGCGAGAUGUGGGUGAGAAUCCCACAGGCCGUAAACCCAAGGU
rnacentral:rRNA from 1 species